rnacentral:rRNA from 1 species
UGGUCAAGCUGAUAAGAGCGCAGGUGGAUGCCUUGGCACUAAGAGCCGAUGAAAGACGUGAUAAGCUGCGAAAAGCUUCGGGGAGGAGCAAAUAU